GUGCCAGCCGCCGCGGUAAUACGGAGGGGGCUAGCGUUGUUCGGAAUUACUGGGCGUAAAGGGCGCGUAGGCUGAUGUUCAAGUCGGGGGUGAAAUCCCGGGGCUCAACCCCGGAACUGCCUCCGAUACUGGACGUCUCGAGGACGGAAGAGGCGAGUGGAAUGCCGAGUGUAGAGGUGAAAUUCGUAGAUAUUCGGCGGAACACCAGUGGCGAAGGCGGCUCGCUGGUCCGUUUCUGACGCUGAGGCGCGAAAGCGUGGGGAGCAAACAGGAUUAGAAACCCGUGUAGUCC
rnacentral:rRNA from 1 species